AGUGAACGCUGGUGGUAGGCCUAACACAUGCAAGUCGAACGGCAGCACAGUAAGGGCUUGCUCUUACGGGUGGCGAGUGGCGGACGGGUGAGGAAUACAUCGGAAUCUACUUUUUCGUGGGGGAUAACGUAGGGAAACUUACGCCAAUACCGCAUACGACCUACGGGUGAAAGCAGGGGAUCUUCGGACCUUGCGCGAUUGAAUGAGCCGAUGUCGGAUUAGCUAGUUGGCGGGGUAAAGGCCCACCAAGGCGACGAUCCGUAGCUGGUCUGAGAGGAUGAUCAGCCACACUGGAACUGAGACACGGUCCAGACUCCUACGGGAGGCAGCAGUGGGGAAUAUCGGACAAUGGGCGCAAGCCUGAUCCAGCCAUACCGCGUGGGUGAAGAAGGCCUUCGGGUUGUAAAGCCCUUUUGUUGGGAAAGAAAAGCAGCAGGUUAAUACCCCGCUGUUCUGACGGUACCCAAAGAAUAAGCACCGGCUAACUUCGUG
rnacentral:rRNA from 1 species